UAGGGAAUCUUCGGCAAUGGGGGGAACCCUGACCGAGCAACGCCGCGUGAGUGAAGAAGGUUUUCGGAUCGUACAGCUCUGUUGUUAAGGAAGAACGAGUGUGAGAAUGGAAAGUUCAUGCUGUGACGGUACUUAACCAGAAAGGGACGGCUAACUACGUGCCAGCAGCCGCGGUAAUACGUAGGUCCCGAGCGUUGUCCGGAUUUAUUGGGCGUAAAGCGAGCGCAGGCGGUUAGAAAAGUCUGAAGUGAAAGGCAGUGGCUCAACCAUUGUAGGCUUUGGAAACUGUUUAACUUGAGUGCAGAAGGGGAGAGUGGAAUUCCAUGUGUAGCGGUGAAAUGCGUAGAUAUAUGGAGGAACACCGGUGGCGAAAGCGGCUCUCUGGUCUGUAACUGACGCUGAGGCUCGAAAGCGUGGGGAGCGAACAGG
rnacentral:rRNA from 2 species